UACGAAGGGGGCUAGCGUUGCUCGGAAUCACUGGGCGUAAAGGGUGCGUAGGCGGGUCUUUAAGUCAGGGGUGAAAUCCUGGAGCUCAACUCCAGAACUGCCUUUGAUACUGAGGAUCUUGAGUUCGGGAGAGGUGAGUGGAACUGCGAGUGUAGAGGGUGAAAUUCGUAGAUAUUCGCAAGAACACCAGUGGCGAAGGCGGCUCACUGGCCCGAUACUGACGCUGAGGCACGAAGCGUGGGAAGCAACAGGGAUAGAAACCUU
rnacentral:rRNA from 1 species